GACGAACGCUGGCGGCGUGCUUAACACAUGCAAGUCGAACGGAAAGGCCCUGCUUUUGUGGGGUGCUCGAGUGGCGAACGGGUGAGUAACACGUGAGUAACCUGCCCUUGACUUUGGGAUAACUUCAGGAAACUGGGGCUAAUACCGGAUAGGAGCUCAUGCUGCAUGGUGGGGGUUGGAAAGUUUCGGCGGUUGGGGAUGGACUCGCGGCCUAUCAGCUUGUUGGUGGGGUAGUGGCUUACCAAGGCUUUGACGGGUAGCCGGCCUGAGAGGGUGACCGGCCACAUUGGGACUGAGAUACGGCCCAGACUCCUACGGGAGGCAGCAGUGGGGAAUAUUGCACAAUGGGCGGAAGCCUGAUGCAGCAACGCCGCGUGCGGGAUGACGGCCUUCGGGUUGUAAACCGCUUUCGCCUGUGACGAAGCGUGAGUGACGGUAAUGGGUAAAGAAGCACCGGCUAACUACGUG
rnacentral:rRNA from 1 species